UGUGUGAGAAGCCAUUUGUCAGGUUGUGAGGAUAUCCAAGCAGCCCAUGGAGAGGCUCAUAUAGAGAAGAACUGAGUCUGUUUGCAACAGCCACCUCUGGUUUGCCAAACAUGAUGCGCCAUCUUGGAAGGAGAUUCUCCAGCCCAGUCGAGCUUUCAGAUGACUAUAGCCCAGCUAAUAUCUUGACUUCAGCCUUAUGACAGACUGAUGAGACCCACAGAGGACACCAUGCUGUGGACGUAAGGGGCACUGAGUCAGUCUGGGUCCUGUCACUCCAGGCUGAAGGAGCCCGUGGGGAGUAGUGACCAGAUCCCAGGGACAGCUGCAGCUAGGAGAGAGCCUGGGACAGGAGACUCGGCCCCCCAGAGGUCAAAGGCAGCCAGAAACCAGAGGGCAAGAAAACCUCUUUGUAUAGACCACUGAGCUCAGCCUCCUGGAUCUCAGAGCAGAGCGGAGACGGCUGUAGAGUGCAGCUGGAGAGGCCAGCAGAGAAUAUUCUGCAGACUUGUUCUGAAAAAUAACUCCCAGGGUUAAAGCUAUUAUAAGAAUGUCUAUCUUUUCCUGCCCUUGGACAUCAGAGCUCUUGGUUCUCGGGCCUUCAGGCUUGAACUGAAUUAUACUGCCAGCUCUCCUGGUUCUCCGGCUUGCAGCUGGCAGAUCAUGGGACUUCCUGGCCUCUGUAACCAUGUGAGCAAUUCCUUUAAUAAAUCUGUCUGUAUAUAUCUCUA